UGCGUAGGCGGGCUAAUAAGUCAGUGGUGAAAUCUUUCGGCUCAACCGAGGAACUGCCAUUGAUACUGUUAGUCUUGAGUUCGGUUGAGGUAGGCGGAAUGUGUAAUGUAGCGGUGAAAUGCUUAGAUAUUACACAGAACACCAAUUGCGUAGGCAGCUUACUAGACCGACACUGACGCUGAGGCACGAAAGCGUGGGGAGCGAACAGGAUUAGAUACCCUGGUAGUCC
rnacentral:rRNA from 1 species